GGCAGCACGGGUGCUUGCACCUGGUGGCGAGUGGCGGACGGGUGAGUAAUGCAUCGGAACAUGCCCACUUGUGGGGGAUAACGCACCGAAAGGUGUGCUAAUACCGCAUAAGCCCUGAGGGGGAAAGCAGGGGAUCUUCGGACCUUGCGCAGGUGGAGUGGCCGAUGUCGGAUUAGCUAGUUGGUGAGGUAACGGCUCACCAAGGCUACGAUCCGUAGCUGGUCUGAGAGGAUGAUCAGCCACACUGGAACUGAGAACGGUCCAGACUCCUACGGGAGGCAGCAGUGGGGAAUUUUGGACAAUGGGGGCAACCCUGAUCCAGCCAUGCCGCGUGAGUGAAGAAGGCCUUCGGGUUGUAAAGCUCUUUCGGCCGGGAAGAAAUCGUGCAGACUAAUAAUCUGUAUGGAUGACGGUACCGGAAUAAGAAGCACCGGCUAACUACGUGCCAGCAGCCGCGGUAAUACGUAGGGUGCGAGCGUUAAUCGGAAUUACUGGGCGUAAAGCGUGCGCAGGCGGUUUUGUAAGACAGGCGUGAAAUCCCCGGGCUCAACCUGGGCAUGGCG
rnacentral:rRNA from 1 species